ACCGGAGCUAAUACCGGAUAAUCCCUUUCUCCACCUGGAGAGAGGGUGAAAGAUGGCUUCGGCUAUCACUAGGGGAUGGGCCCGCGGCGCAUUAGCUAGUUGGUAAGGUAACGGCUUACCAAGGCAACGAUGCGUAGCCGACCUGAGAGGGUGAUCGGCCACACUGGGACUGAGACACGGCCCAGACUCCUACGGGAGGCAGCAGUAGGGAAUCUUCCGCAAUGGACGAAAGUCUGACGGAGCAACGCCGCGUGAGUGAGGAAGGCCUUCGGGUCGUAAAGCUCUGUUGUGAGGGAAGAAGCGGUACCGUUCGAAUAGGGCGGUACCUUGACGGUACCUCACCAGAAAGCCACGGCUAACUACGUGCCAGCAGCCGCGGUAAUACGUAGGUGGCAAGCGUUGUCCGGAAUUAUUGGGCGUAAAGCGCGCGCAGGCGGCUUCUUAAGUCUGAUGUGAAAUCUCGGGGCUCAACCCCGAGCGGCCAUUGGAAACUGGGGAGCUUGAGUGCAGAAGAGGAGAGUGGAAUUCCACGUGUAGCGGUGAAAUGCGUAGAGAUGUGGAGGAACACCAGUGGCGAAGGC
rnacentral:rRNA from 2 species